rnacentral:rRNA from 1 species
UAGGGAAUCUUCGGCAAUGGACGAAAGUCUGACCGAGCAACGCCGCGUGAGUGAAGAAGGUUUUCGGAUCGUAAAGCUCUGUUGUUAGAGAAGAACAAGGACGUUAGUAACUGAACGUCCCCUGACGGUAUCUAACCAGAAAGCCACGGCUAACUACGUGCCAGCAGCCGCGGUAAUACGUAGGUGGCAAGCGUUGUCCGGAUUUAUUGGGCGUAAAGCGAGCGCAGGCGGUUUCUUAAGUCUGAUGUGAAAGCCCCCGGCUCAACCGGGGAGGGGCAUUGGAAACUGGGAGACUUGAGUGCAGAAGAGGAGAGUGGAAUUCCAUGUGUAGCGGUGAAAUGCGUAGAUAUAUGGAGGAACACCAGUGGCGAAGGCGGCUCUCUGGUCUGUAACUGACGCUGAGGCUCGAAAGCGUGGGGAGCAAACAGG